AUUGAACGCUGGCGGCAUGCCUUACACAUGCAAGUCGAACGGCAGCACGGGAGCAAUCCUGGUGGCGAGUGGCGAACGGGUGAGUAAAGUAUCGGAACGUGCCCAGUCGUGGGGGAUAACGUAGCGAAAGUUACGCUAAUACCGCAUACGAUCUAUGGAUGAAAGCGGGGGAUCGCAAGACCUCGCGCGAUUGGAGCGGCCGAUAUCAGAUUAGGUAGUUGGUGGGGUAAAGGCUCACCAAGCCGACGAUCUGUAGCUGGUCUGAGAGGACGACCAGCCACACUGGGACUGAGACACGGCCCAGACUCCUACGGGAGGCAGCAGUGGGGAAUUUUGGACAAUGGGCGCAAGCCUGAUCCAGCCAUGCCGCGUGCAGGAUGAAGGCCUUCGGGUUGUAAACCGCUUUUGUACGGAACGAAAAGGUUUGACUUAAUACGUUGGACUCAUGACGGUACCGUAAGAAUAAGCACCGGCUAACUACGUGCCAGCCGCCGCCGUAAGAC
rnacentral:rRNA from 1 species